CCUACGGGAGGCAGCAGUGAGGAAUAUUGGUCAAUGGGCGGAAGCCUGAACCAGCCAAGUCGCGUGAGGGGAUAAGGCCCUACGGGUCGUAAACCUCUUUUGCCGGGGAGCAAGGGCGGGGACGUGUCCCGGCCCGGAGAGUACCCGGAGAAAAAGCAUCGGCUAACUCCGUGCCAGCAGCCGCGGUGAUACGGAGGAUGCGAGCGUGAUCCGGAUUUUGUGGGUUAAAAGGGUGCGUAGGCGGGCUUUUAAGCCAGCGGUAAAGAUUCGGGGCUCAACCCCGUCCGGCCGUUGAAACUGGGGGCGUUGAGUGGGCGAGAAGAAGGCGGAAUGCGUGGUGUAGCGGUGAAAUGCAUAGAUAUCACGCAGAACCCCGAUUGCGAAGGCAGCCUUCCGGCGCCCUACUGACGCUGAGGCACGAAAGUGCGGGGAUCGAACAGGAUUAGAUACCCUUGUAGUC
rnacentral:rRNA from 1 species